rnacentral:rRNA from 1 species
AUUGAACGCUGGCGGCAUGCCUUACACAUGCAAAUCGAACGGCAGCACGGGAGCAAUCCUGGUGGCGAGUGGCGAACGGGUGAGUAAUAUAUCGGAACGUGCCCAGUCGUGGGGGAUAACGUAGCGAAAGCUACGCUAAUACCGCAUACGAUCUAUGGAUGAAAGCGGGGGAUCGCAAGACCUCGCGCGAUUGGAGCGGCCGAUAUCAGAUUAGGUAGUUGGUGAGGUAAAGGCUCACCAAGCCGACGAUCUGUAGCGGGGCUGAGAGGACGCACAGCCACAAUGGGACUGAGAACCGGCGCAGACUCCGACGGGAGGCAGCAGUGGGGAAUUUUGGACAAUGGGCGCAAGCCUGAUCCAGCAAUGCCGCGUGCAGGAUGAAGGCCUUCGGGUUGUAAACUGCUUUUGUACGGAACGAAACGGCGAGCUCUAAUACAGUUUGCUAAUGACGGUACCGUAAGAAUAAGCACCGGCUAACUACGUGCCAGCCGCCGCCGUAA